ACAGGGGCUAAAUAGCUUGAUUUAUCUGUAUCACAUAAGCAACAAUGACCAGCCUUUUGCCCCUCUGUGUUCAGCUAAUAGAUUUUAUUGAGGCCAGUGAAGUCAGGAGUGAGUUGCUGUCUGCCAGCCGGUCCAGUAGGCCCCCAAAUUCACCAGCCCCUCCGGUGACUGAUUAAGACUAAAGCACUGAGCCACAAGACAAGAGGGGGCAUUCCUUUCCAACAGCUUGGGCUUCCCAGAGAUUCCUCAAUAAGCUUUUGUUUGAUCCACUUGAACAUACAAAAGUCACAGCGGGAGCAUAUCCCUGCCAGAGCUGUCCAACAGGAACCCAGAGUUCACCCGAGUAAAAGGAGUUGUUUGCUAUCUUUCAUUAAGUGCCUCUUUCUCUCGCUCUUCUCUUGCUUGUGUGUGCACAUAUGUGUGUGCCAGACAGCUGUGCAACCUGUUCUCCCUGGAGGAUGACCAAGUCAAAGACACCUGCUGUUGUAUCAUUAAAAGAAUCAGGCGGCCACAUCUGGUAGAGAACUCAACAGCUUCCAGACGAGGGGGAGGAUCUGCUGCAAGGCAGAGGCCACAGCCCAGCUCGCUGCAUAACUGUGGCUUCUCUGACUUGUCCCAGAUUCAAGAAUAUUCCUCCUCCCAUACCACUUGAUAGACCGUGGAACAUUCUUGUUCUGGAUUCUGUAUGUAUUUGUACAUUAAAUCCUCCAAAACUAUGCGAAUUGAAAUGAUUUUGGGACAAUGUUUUUGCUGCUUUUGUAACUGUUAUGAAUAAAAAUGUCCUUUGUUCCCUCCCAA